AGGAGGUGCUCGAAAGAGAGCCGUAACACAGGUGCUGCAUGGCUGUCGUCAGCUCGUGUCGUGAGAUGUUGGGUUAAGUCCCGCAACGAGCGCAACCCUUGUCAUUAGUUGCUACAUUCAGUUGGGCACUCUAAUGAGACUGCCGGUGACAAACCGGAGGAAGGUGGGGAUGACGUCAAGUCCUCAUGGCCCUUAUAGGUGGGGCUACACACGUCAUACAAUGGAUGGUACAAAGGGUCGCCAACCCGCGAGGGGGAGCCAAUCCCAUAAAGCCAUUCGUAGUCCGGAUCGCAGUCUGCAACUCGACUGCGUGAAGUCGGAAUCGCUAGUAAUCGUGGAUCAGAAUGUCACGGUGAAUACGUUCCCGGGUCUU
rnacentral:rRNA from 1 species